CGCCACCGGUUUCUUGGGCUCCAAACCCGAGCUCCCCGCGGAAUCUGCAAAACCCUUCCCGCUGCAGACGGUAUUCACUUCCUGACCGCGAGCCACGGCGGAUCCCACGUCCUCCGGGGAAAUGUAGUGCAGAGUAAGAGCCUCCUCAGAGUUCCCGACAUGCAGCGCGGAAGCCCUCGCAUUGGGGCCGCGGAGACACCUGGGAGUUCCGGGUUGGCUGGAGUACGCAGGCGCAGGCUCCACCCCCCCUCGCGGAGAACCUCGGCUGCGGCGGAGCUGAGACCCGACUUCCGGCUUCGGGGAAGCAGAGAAUGCGCAGUCGAUGUCUGGGUGGGCGCAGGUGCCGGAGGAGCCCGCCGGUGAGUCCCGCCGCCAGGCUACCAGCUUCCGGUUGGCUCCCGGGUCCCAGAAGUCCUCGCGCAUAGCCCGGAAGCCGGAAUGCCGGAGAUGGAGGGACCUUGGCUCUCAGCAGCGGGGUGCGAAAAAGCCUCUACCCAGCCUAUCAUCCAUAUAGAUGUUGGCGGUCUUACCCUUGGCCAUCUGCAGUGCCUUGGUCACGGUGUCUGCCAUUCUCAGGGAGUAGACCCCAACUACAAAACAUACUCU